CCGGGACUGGACGAGGACUGGACGAGGACUGGACCGGGACUAGACCGGGACUAGACCGGGACUGGACCGGGACUAAACGAGGACUAAACGGGGACUGAACCGGGACUGGACCGGGACUGGACCGGGACUGGACCGGGACUGGACCGGGACUGGACCAGGACUGGACCGACCACAGCUGGGAGGACGCCAACCACACGGCCAUAACUCAGGGAUCUAACCGCGAUACCACCAAAGUCCAGAGUCUCACUGACCGCACGCUCGUCCUGAAGUUCUGUUUGAGCUACGUCCACUUCUUUGCCCUGUGCCAAACGUUCAUAGAGGCGUCCUGCUCAGGUGAGUGUCCUCACACUGGACACACACUGACCCAUGUGACCGACGAGCCCCUGGACACACACUGACCCGUGUGACCGACGAGCCCCUGGACACACACACUGACCGUUAGAUUUAAAUAUUUUACUAUUUUUUAUUAGUUUGGUUGUUUCAAAUUUCACUUCCUGGUUUGAAGUCAUGACAUCACACGAAGACGCCAAGUGGUCGACUGAGACAGAACGUCCCAGAGAGAAUCAGACACACACACGAGAAAACACCUUUAUUCUGUCGAGUCAUGUCCAGAGUGUCACAAAAAUGUGUCAAAUGUGUCAAAUGUGUCAACUUUUGGACAGAAUUAACCCAGUGUGAUGUCAUCAGUGUGAUGUCAUCAGUGUGAUGUCAUCAGUGUGAUGUCAUCAGUGUGAUGUCAUCAGUGUGAUGUCGUCAACAUAUUUUUCAUCUUUUCUUCACAAACUGUUUCUUGAUUUACAUAAAAGUGUCAUUUAUAUUUAAACAGUUUUGUCCUCCAGAUAAACUCUCCAGGACCAGAACCAGGACUAGAACCAGGACCAGGACUAGAACCAGGACCAGGACUAGAACCAGGACCAGGACCAGGCCAUAAUGUGUGUGUGUUUGUUUUGCAGUGGUCUGCAGCUCUGACCCUCCUCUGACCUCAGCUCCUCCUCUGACCUCAGCUCCUCCUCUGACCUCAGCUCCUCCUCUUCCUGCUUCUAUCUUCGUCCCGGUUGUCGUCCUGACCUCGGUGCUCGUCGUGGGGCUGGUGCUCGUCGUGGGGCUGGUGCUCGUGUGGUUCCUGUCCCCAAAGUUCAGGCGCUGGAUACGUGGAUUCGCCCAGAGCUGUGUCUCCAAAAGGCCCGAGGAUCCCGGAGCCGAGGAGAGCGGAGCGCCGCUCACUCACGUCACCGCCGCUUAACCGAUGCCGCGGCGGGAUCAAAACACUGAUGGUGCGGUCUCUUUGUGAAACAGCCACGGUCACUCAAAUCAGACGCCACGGUCACUCAAAUCAGACGCCGCGGUCACUCAAAUCAGACGCCGCGGUCACUCAAAUCAGACGCCGCGGUCACUCAAAUCAGACGCCGCGGUCACUCAAAUCAGACGCCGCGGUCACUAACGCCGCGCUCCAGUGUCCUCAGAGCUCAGAGUUUACAUUUAAGUGUAAAUUUAAGAUUCAAGAAUCAUUUUGACUAUUUCAUCUUUUCAAUAUAUUUAAACUUGGAUAAAGUUUUAGCCAGUUUUGAACGCACCAGCGCCCCCAUGUGGCCGUUUCACCGAACACCUGAAAGUGUUUUUAUCCCUCGGCUCAUUAUCUCUGCUUCUGCUUCUGCUUCUGCUUCUGCUUCUGCUUCUGCUUCUGCUUCUGCUUCUGUUUGUUGUGCUACACUUUGGGCACAGAUCUUUGGUGAAUCUGGGAUGUUGUUCCACAUCUUGGUUUGGAGUCUGGCUCCCUCUAGUGUCCACAGGACGCCAGGUUUUCCCAAUCCAAGUUUGAACAGAUCCAGACGUGCGGCUUUAGUUUUGACUAAACGCACAGAGUGAGAGUCAGUACAGUUACAAACAUAGUGUCAUUAUAACACUGUGAUUAUACUGUAAUUAUACAG
ensembl:lncRNA